UGGGGAAUUUUGCACAAUGGGGGAAACCCUGAUGCAGCGACGCUGCGUGAUUUAGAAGGCCUUCGGGUUGUAAAAAUCUUUUCUAUGGGAAGAAAAUGACAGUACCAUAGGAAUAAGGACCGGCUAAUUACGUGCCAGCAGCCGCGGUAAUACGUAAGGUCCGAGCGUUGUCCGGAAUCAUUGGGCGUAAAGGGUACGUAGGCGGGUAAGCAAGUUAGAAGUGAAAUCCUGUAGCUCAACUACAGUAAGCUUUUAAAACUGCUCAUCUUGAGAUAAGGAAGGGGAAGUGGAACUCCGUGGGUAGCGGGGAAAUGCGCAGGUAUUAGGAAGAAUACCGGGGGCGAAGGACACCUUGUGGCCAUAAUCUGACGCAGAGGUACGAAAGCGUGGGUAGCAAACAGG
rnacentral:rRNA from 1 species